rnacentral:lncRNA from 1 species
UUGUCUAUACUCUGAAAGUUGCUUACACACAAAUCAUGAAGAUUUCUUUGGUUCUCGGUAAAACCAUCAAGCCUAUUUACCAUGUAUCUUUCAAAAGAAGACAUGGAUGGCAUUUCAUCUCCUUGAUUUCUUGCACUGGUUCCAGCACCUAGAUUGGUUUCAGGUUGCUUUUCAUGGUGAAAAUCCAUGUCAACAACUUGAUCUUCCUCAUCAAAAUCCGUAGUUGCAGCACUAGAUGAAGCACCAUGAUCACCAUCUUUGCUCACCCAUUUCCCACUUAUUUUAGUGAAUCCCAUCUUGCUAAGAAAGCCAUUGUUCAUCUCUUGUGUUGACUUGACCAGCUCAGAUGUCUCAUCCUUAAGAUUCACUUCAAAAUAGAGCAAGAACUU